rnacentral:rRNA from 1 species
AUUGAACGCUGGCGUCAGGCCUAACACAUGCAAGUCGAACGAGUGGCGGACGGGUUAGUAAUGUCUGGGAAACUGCCUGAUGGAUGGGGAUCACUACUGGAAACGGUAGCUACUACCGCAUACCAUCGGAUGUGCCCAGAUGGGAUUCGCUAGUAGGUGGGGUAAAGGCUCACAUAGGCGACGAUCCCUAGCUGGUCUGAGAGGAUGACCAGUCAAACUGGAACUGAGACACGGGCCAGACUCCUACGGGAGGCAGCAGUGGGGAAUAGUGGACAAUGGGCGAAAGCCUGAUGAAGCCAUGCCGAGUGUAUGAAGAAGGUCUUCGGAUUGUAAAGAACUUUCAGCGGGGAGGCGUUACCAGCAGAAUAAGCACCGGCUAACUUCGUGCCAGCAGCCGCGGUAAUAC